ACAGUUACUGGUACUGGACCCUCCCUACCUCACUCUGCUGGAAUCAUUCUUACGACCCUGGAUCUACUGACUGCCAGAACCAUCAGCAUGGCAGGAUCAUCCAGGACUCCAUCAGAUCAAGGGUCCAAAGGAACCUCCUAGAAAAACAGCACUUGUCUUUCCCAGCUGGCCAACACUCAACACCAGGUGGAGGAUCUCAGAGAGACGUUUCUAACAUCUGAGGCUACUGCCUAUGCCCUGGCCAAACAGCUACAAAAAUACCAGAAUCCAAAAUCCUCCUUCAAGAUCAGGACCUAGAGUUGAGUCAGCUGAGGCAGAACUCACAAGAGGGGAGACACGCAGCCCACCACCUCCAACAGCAUCUCACCAACCUCCUCACCCAUCAUGGCUGUAACAACUGCCACGGCCACAACUUUUGAGACCAACUGGCCGAGAUGUGCAGGAUGUCAGAGUGCCUUGUACCAGCAGCUGAGCCCAGGAGGAGCAGGCCAGCUGUGGGAGGAGCCAGCACCCAUCCAGUGUGCAUACACAACAGGAGGGCAUGAAGAUGGUUGUUGGAGUGAAAACAUCUCUGGGCUAAACACCAAGCUCCCAGCUUCCAGCACAAGUGCCAAUUUCAAAUCCAUGCAUGUGUGAGCACAUCAUCAUUAUGAGUGAGAGAUUCCUAAGAUUCCUGGACUAAAACAUCAGAAACAUUGUGGAUUUGUCACGUCUACAACCCCUAGAUUGUUACAUCAUUGUGACCA